rnacentral:lncRNA from 1 species
CGCGGGCUACCAUUGAAAUGACUCGAGCUGGGCUGGUCAGUGACAAACGUGCCACGCCCCGCAGCACAAUAAUAUUUAAAUAGUUUAUCAGGUACUUGCAGAGGCUUCAUCAAUCACAUACCCAAGAUUGUAUAUGUAUGAAACAACAAAUAGACACUCUUUCAGUAGGGAUUCUAUGAGUAGGAUUAUUACUUAGACUGCCGAUAAGUAAAUUUCUAACAGCAUGGAGUUGAGAUGAGCAUCCCAAAUAUACUAAAAUACAUUUCCAUGUAGAUAGUUCCCAAGUUUGCAUAUGAAUUACCAUGCAGAUUGUUAAUUUUUGCAGCAUAUAUGCAAGAUGACUUGCGAAGAAAUAAUGCCUACAUGUGGACGUCUCAAUGUUUAAUGCAUGGCUAUUUUCAUAAUGAUACAAGGAGUAUGUAGAAAAUUGUGAGUUUGCAAACCACAUUAUCCCCUUUCUCUUUGCAUAUGCUGUUAUUUAGAGUGCACGCUGUUCUUUUAUUGUAGCAGAGACUGAGAUUAACAUCACCCACUUGUAAGUUUAAAGCCUGAAAAUGGUCAUUGCAAAAGACAUGCAGCUCUGACAUGAUGCAAGUCUCUCAUGUAAAGGUAUUUUUACAAUGGUAAAUAGGAGCAUGCACCAAAAUAAUUUUGCGACCUUUCAAAGUGCAUAAGCAUAACAAAUAAAACCAUCAUGUUUCAUGAAAAACAUUACCGUGUUUCGCUUCACAGGUACAGAUUCACAAUUGCUAAUCUGACGCCUAUAGACAUAAUUGCGCAAGGGCUC